rnacentral:lncRNA from 1 species
AGGGGUGGGUAGGUGACACCCUGGCUGUGCAGGACCUGGGCAAGUGCAGGGGUCAUCCUUCCUGGGGAUGUGGGGGCAGCAAGUGGGCAGAACUGGAGCCCUGAAACCUUGACCCAGGGGCCGCUGAAAUCCCCAAGGGGCUGCCUCUGCCCCACUUGCCCCACCCCCCACAGGGAGACAGCGGCCCACGGGGCAGGGAUUGCUCAGGGCCCGUGGUGAGGCAGGGGUGGCGGGGGCACCGAGGGCAUCGUCCCCAGAGAGGGUCUAAGCCGGCCAGAGUCAGUUAGAAGACGCAGCCCCUGACCCCUGCAGCCAAAAUUCCAUGUUCUUUUCAUCUCCGUGCUUACCGGGGCCUCCCCGGCCAGCCCUCGUGGGAAUAUUGGAACAGACCAGUUGGGGAGGCGGAUGUCAGCACAAGCAGGACCACACAGGGGAGAGGAGCCCUCGGGGGCAGCAACGGUCAGGAGGGGAACAGCCCCUUGAACUGACUCGCAAGGGGCAGGGGUCUGCUGGUGGUCAUGUGGAGAACAACAGAUUCUGGACAUGCUGGCCGCUCACUGUCCUCCAGUGCUGGAGUCCUGGGCUCUGCAGGUCAGGAGCUGACAAAAGCUGGAUCCAAAUCUGGAAGGUGCCUUCAAGGGCGUGACACCUAACUGGCUGCUAUCCCUGCACCUCCCACGACAGCCUCAUGCUCCGCCGCCCCCGCGAGGAAUUUUAUGGAUGCAAAGAAGGUGGAGACAUGAAAUAAACACUUGGGUUUUAACUACGGCCA